ACUGUUACUUAGAUGCGGACAAGCGCAACAGGUCAACGAAGACUGUGCCGUCCAAGACAGGGAGGAAACCGAGAGAAAAAGAAGUAUCUGCAAAGAAAAGAAAAGAAGAAGCACGGAGGGUAGCAGAAAGUGACCUGCUCGUCGAUUUAGAAGACCCUGAAUCUUCGAAGGAGUACGUGGAAGAGUACCGUGAUCAGCUGAAGGCAUUGCGGCAGGAGAACCAAAUUCUGAAGGAUCUGAACUACAAGCUGCAGGAGGCGCUGUGCAGUAAACUCUUAUCGGAGGGUGCUGGGCCAGGAUUGAAGCAGGAGCCACGAGUUCUCCAAGGUGUUAUUGCCAUAGAUGAUGACGUUGAAACUAGUA